CUAUGCUAAACUUCUACACUGGAAGCUAGCAUCUCUCAUCCAUCAUUUGAACUCCGAAGUUAAGCGUGCUUGGGCGAGAGUAGUACUAGGAUGGGUGACCUCCUGGGAAGUCCUCGUGUUGCAUCNN
rnacentral:rRNA from 1 species